CGUCUAUAUACGUAUAGCAUAUCAAUAAGCGGAGGAAAAGAAACUAACUAGGAUUCCCUUAGUAACGGCGAGUGAAGCGGGAAGAGCUCAAAUUUGAAAUCUUCAAGGUUCUACCUUGACGAAUUGUAGUUUAAAGAAGUGUUUUCUGUUAGUGGAGUGGCUAAAAGUUCUUUGGAAUAGGACAUCAUAGAGGGUGAGAAUCCCGUAUUUGAUCAGUUCCUUUCUAGCUGUGUGAUACACUUUCAAAGAGUCGGAUUGUUUGGGAAUGCAGUCCAAAAUGGGUGGUAAAUUUCAUCUAAAGCUAAAUAUUGGCGAGAGACCGAUAGCGAACAAGUACCGUGAGGGAAAGAUGAAAAGAACUUUGAAAAGAGAGUUAAACAGUACGUGAAAUUGUCAAAAGGGAAGCGUUUGACACCAGUGUUGUUUUUCCGAAAAUCAAUUAUAAAUGUUUUAGUUUUGAGGAGUGAUGACUUCAUCGGCUUGCUCCUUCUCUUUAUGAAACUUUCUUAAUGCACUUUUCGGUUAACAAGUCAACAUCAAUUUCUUUUGUUGUAAAAGAGUAUUAGGAAGGUGGCUUUCUUUUCGGAGAAAGUGUUUAUAGCCUUAUACUUCUACAAUCGGAGAGAUUGAGGUCUGCAGCGUAGAUCCUUCGGGGUUAGAUACAUUUGUGCUAAGUUAUAGGCCUUGUCAUAGACAACUUGUUGACUAUGAUCAGUCAUGUAGCUUACUCGCUUAUGCUAUUUUACCUACGCUUAGGAUGUUGAUAUGCAUGACUGAUAU
rnacentral:rRNA from 1 species